CCGGGGUGCCGCGGGCUGCGAGCGGGCCUGCGGAGCCGGGGGAAUGCAGGCUCGCUGUGCCCUGGGCAGCACGGGGAGGCUCUCCCUGGCUGGGUGCUGUGAGAGCUGCGGCGUUGAUGGGUUGGGAAGUGUAUGAGGGAAUUUUCAGGUGUUGCAAGAGCUUUGUUUGUCCAUCAUUGGGCUCUCGACCCCACUCUGUCCCCAAGUUGUCUUCUUCCUGAGACCCGCAGUCUCUGCAGUACUCCACUUGUUCUAGACCAGACUUCCAGCUCGGAAGAGAUGGAUUGCCUUUGGUAAUACCCUCAUCCUAUCUUUUCACGUUGCUAACACAAGAAAAGAAGUAAUUCUCAAAAGCUGCAGGAAAAUGUGUUUAAUACUUGUAGAAAUACAUUCUCUCUUAAGGAAGGCCUACAGAAAGCAUCAGGAAGAUCCUUGACCUCAGACACAUUCAAGGACCUCAGAUGAAAUACUAGUUUCUGUUCCCUUCACAGAGCUUGGACAGCAAAGUUUGAUGGACUUUGUUUCAGCUAUUUCAGUGCUUCUGCCUUGCAGAGGUAGUCAGGAAGGAAGGGACAAAGUUUGAGUCACAUUUCAUUAAAAUCAGUCUAAAGCGUGAAGAUUAAAAAAUAUUUACAUCUUUAUGCUUUGCUUACAGAAAAGGAUCUUUGGGGUCUUAAUCUAGAAAAUUUCCAUCUCUGAUUUGUGACAGUAUGUCUCUUAAAAGUUCUGUUAUCUAAUAUAUAUAUAUCUCCAUUAAUCCAAAAUUAGCCUAAUGGAGGAUGUUUCUGUAAGUAAAUUCUAUCACCUUGCCAAAAAUAAACGUAGUAGUUAUGUAGCCA
rnacentral:lncRNA from 1 species